UACGUAGGGGGGCAAGCGUUUGUCCGGAUUUAUUGGGCGUAAAGAGCGUGUAGGCGGUCAGGUAGGUCGGUUGUGAAAAACUGGAGGCUCAACCUUCAGAGGUCGACCGAAACCCCCCUGGCUAGAGUCCGGGAGAGGAGAGUGGAAUUCCUGGUGUAGCGGUGAAAUGCGCAGAUAUCAGGAAGAACACCAAUGGCGAAAAGCAGCUCUCUGGGACGGUACUGACGCUGAGGUGCGAAAAGCGUGGGGAGCAAACAGG
rnacentral:rRNA from 1 species